rnacentral:rRNA from 1 species
AUUGAACGCUGGCGGCAGGCCUAACACAUGCAAGUCGAACGAGUGGCGGACGGGUGAGUAAUGCAUCGGAAACUGCCCUGUCGUGGGGGAUAACGACGGGGAACUUACGCUAAUACCGCAUACUAUCAGAUGAGCCUAGGUCGGAUUGGCUAGUAGGUGAGGUAACGGCUCACCUAGGCGACGAUCCCUAGCUGGUCUGAGAGGAUGACCAGACAAACUGGAACUGAGACACGGUCCAGAGUCCUACGGGAGGCAGCAGUGGGGAAUAUUGCACAAGGGGCGCAAGCCUGAUGCAGCCAUGCCGCGUGUAUGAAGAAGGCCUUCGGGUUGUAAAGUACUUUCAGCGGGGAGGCGUUACCCGCAGAAGAAGCACCGGCUAACUCCGUGCCAGCAGCCGCGGUAAUAC